rnacentral:rRNA from 1 species
CUCGCUCACCCCCGAUCGACCGCCCACUAUACGACCUCGGUCGAUCUAGUGGAGCGGUAAACGGGCCGCCUUUGAAUUCCACCCCGCGAGUAGUCUUGGCGCUCUCCGCGUCCCGCUCACUAGCCAGCAGCCACCCUACCUCGCCCUGGUUGACGCUAUAUAUUGUUGUCGCGGUGCUACUUACCUGAGAGAUGGGGGAGAACGGCGUGGGCAAGAACUACUACCAGGGGAGCGCGGCGGCGGCCAUGGAGGUGUCCUCCGUGGAGCACGGCCAGGCGGGCGGCUCCAAGUGCUACGACGACGACGGCCGCCUCAAGCGUACCGGGACGAUGUGGACGGCGAGCGCCCACAUCAUCACGGCGGUGAUCGGGUCCGGGGUGCUGUCGCUGGCCUGGGCCAUCGGCCAGCUCGGCUGGGUGGCCGGCCCCGCCGUCAUGCUGCUCUUCUCCCUCGUCACCUACUACACCUCCUCGCUGCUCUCCGACUGCUACCGCUCCGGCGACGAGACCACCGGCAAGCGCAACUACACCUACAUGGACGCCGUCAACGCCAACCUCAGUGGCAUCAAGGUCCAGCUCUGCGGGUUCCUGCAGUACGCCAACAUCGUCGGCGUCGCCAUCGGAUACACCAUCGCCGCCUCCAUUAGCAUGCUUGCGAUCAAGAGGGCCAACUGCUUCCACGUCAAGGGGCACGUGAACCCGUGCCACAUCUCGAGCACGCCCUACAUGAUCAUCUUCGGCGUGGCGGAGAUCUUCUUCUCUCAGAUCCCGGACUUCGACCAGAUCUCCUGGCUCUCCAUCCUGGCCGCCAUCAUGUCCUUCACCUACUCCACCAUCGGCCUCGGCCUCGGGAUCGUCCAGGUGGUCGCCAACAAGGGCGUCAAGGGCAGCCUCACCGGCAUCAGCAUCGGCGUCGUCACGCCCAUGGACAAGGUGUGGCGGAGCCUCCAGGCCUUCGGCGACAUCGCCUUCGCCUACUCCUACUCGCUCAUCCUCAUCGAGAUCCAGGACACCAUCAGGGCGCCGCCGCCGUCCGAGGCCAAGGUCAUGCGCCGCGCCACCGUCGUCAGCGUCGCCACCACCACUCUCUUCUACAUGCUCUGCGGCUGCAUGGGCUACGCCGCCUUCGGCGACAACGCCCCCGGGAACCUCCUCACCGGCUUCGGCUUCUACGAGCCCUUCUGGCUCCUCGACAUCGCCAACGCCGCCAUCGUCGUCCACCUCGUCGGCGCCUACCAGGUCUACUGCCAGCCCCUGUUCGCCUUCGUCGAGAAGUGGGCGCAGCAGAGGUGGCCCAAGUCAGGGUUCAUCACCAGAGAGAUCCAGGUCCCGCUCGUCUCCUCCGGCUUCAAGCUCAACCUCUUCCGCCUGACGUGGCGGUCGGCGUUCGUGGUGGCGACGACCGUGGUGUCCAUGCUUCUGCCCUUCUUCAACGACGUCGUCGGCUUCCUCGGCGCCAUCGGGUUCUGGCCGCUCACCGUCUACUUCCCCGUGGAGAUGUACAUCGUGCAGAAGAAGAUACCCAAGUGGAGCUCACAGUGGGUGUGCCUACAGCUACUCAGCCUCGCCUGCCUCAUCAUCACCAUUGCCGCCGCCGCCGGCUCCAUCGCCGGGAUAAUGUCCGACUUAAAGGUCUACAAGCCGUUCUCCACGACUGACUGAUCGAUGCGUGGCUGGCCGUCGCAUGAAUGCACAGAUCCUCGAUGGACAGAAUAUGCCUAAAAGCUCUAAUCAAUUAAUCAACCAAUUAUCACACGUUCACUAAAAAUUACAUGCUCAAGUAAUUGUUGCUUCUAAACAGCCGGCGGACCACCGGUGCUGCUGAUUUUCAUUUUCCUUUGUUUGCCAUCCACCGUGUUAACUGAAAAUGGUAGAGGGGAACCAAAAUAGUGUACUUCCAAAUUGGUGUGAUUGGUAAGUACGUUAAUGAGAAAUGAAUGUUCUCAUGAUAACUACUUGAGUGAUAUUAAGAUCAUUCUCCAGAUGAGCCUGAAUUUCUUCUUGGUGCAAUUUGUCGACUCGUGCGACCAUGACAUUUUUUUUAUUUGAUAAAACAGCCCCUCUUUAUUACUCCCUCCGUUCCCAAAUAUUUGUCUUUCUAGACAUUUCAAGUGGACACAACAUACGGAUGUAUGUAGACAUAUUUUAGAGUGUAGAUUCACUCAUUUUGCU